GGGGAAUAUUGCACAAUGGGCGAAAGCCUGAUGCAGCGACGCCGCGUGAGGGAUGAAGGCCUUCGGGUUGUAAACCUCUUUCAGCAGGCAAGAAGCGACAGUGACGGUACCUGUAGAAGAAGCGCCGGCCAACUACGAGCCAGCAGCCGCGGUAAUACGUAGGGCGCAAGCGUUGGCCGGAAUUAUUGGGCGUAAAGAGCUCGUAGGCGGUUAGGCGCGUCUGCUGUGAAAACUCGAGGCUCAACCUCGGGCUUGCAGUGGGUACGGGCUGACUAGAGUGCGGUAGGGGUGACUGGAAUUCCUGGUGUAGCGGUGGAAUGCGCAGAUAUCAGGAGGAACACCGAUGGCGAAGGCAGGUCACUGGGCCGCAACUGACGCUGAGGAGCGAAAGCUUGGGGAGCGAACA
rnacentral:rRNA from 1 species